rnacentral:rRNA from 1 species
AUUGAACGCUGGCGGCAGGCAUAACACAUGCAAGUCGAGCGGAUCUGCUGACGGGUGAGUAAUGCCUAUGAAUCUGACUGGUAGUGGGGGAUAACAUCCGGAAACGGGCGCUAAUACCACAUACUAUCAGAUGAGCCUACGUCGGUUUAGCUAGUUGGUGGGGUACAGGCCUACCAAGGCUACGAUCCGUAACUGGUCUGAGAGGAUGAUCAGUCACACUGGAACUGAGACACUGUGCAGAGUACUACGUGAGGCAGCUGUGGGGAAUAUUAGACAAUGGGCGAAAGCCUGAUCCAGCCAUGCCGCGUGUGUGAAGAAGUUUUUCGGAUUGUAGAGCACUUUAAGUUGGGAGGCGUUACCAAAAGAAUAAGCACCGGCUAACUUCGUGCCAGCAGCCGCGGUAAUUC